rnacentral:rRNA from 1 species
CAGCCGCCGCGGUAAUACGUAGGUGGCAAGCGUUGUCCGGAUUUAUUGGGCGUAAAGCGAGCGCAGGCGGUUAGAUAAGUCUGAAGUUAAAGGCUGUGGCUUAACCAUAGUACGCUUUGGAAACUGUUUAACUUGAGUGCAAGAGGGGAGAGUGGAAUUCCAUGUGUAGCGGUGAAAUGCGUAGAUAUAUGGAGGAACACCGGUGGCGAAAGCGGCUCUCUGGCUUGUAACUGACGCUGAGGCUCGAAAGCGUGGGGAGCAAACAGGAUUAGAUACCCCGGUAGUCCCUGUCUCUUAUACA